GAGUUUGAUCCUGGCUCAGGACGAACGCUGGCGGCGUGCCUAACACAUGCAAGUCGAGCGGAGUUAUGCGGAUGAAGUUUUCGGACGGAAGAAGGAUAAUUUAGCGGCGGACGGGUGAGUAACGCGUGAGCGACCAACCUUACACAGGGGGAUAACGGAUCGAAAGAUUCACUAAUACCGCAUGAGACCACAGCAUCGCAUGAUGCGGGGGUCAAAGGAGCAAUCCGGUGUAAGACGGGCUCGCGUCCGAUUAGGUAGUUGGUGGGGUAAUGGCCCACCAAGCCUAUGAUCGGUAGCCGACCUGAGAGGGUGAUCGGCCACAUUGGAACUGAGAGACGGUCCAAACUCCUACGGGAGGCAGCAGUGGGGAAUAUUGGGCAAUGGGGGAAACCCUGACCCAGCAACGCCGCGUGAGGGAAGAAGGUUUUCGGAUUGUAAACCUCUGUCCUUGGUGAAGAGCAGAAGACGGUAGCCAAGGAGGAAGCCCCGGCUAACUACGUGCCAGCAGCCGCGGUAAUACGUAGGGGGCAAGCGUUGUCCGGAAUUAUUGGGCGUAAA
rnacentral:rRNA from 1 species